UACGUAGGGUGCAAGCGUUAAUCGGAAUUACUGGGCGUAAAGCGUGCGCAGGCGGUGAUGUAAGACAGGUGUGAAAUCCCCGGGCUUAACCUGGGAACUGCAUUUGUGACUGCAUCGCUGGAGUGCGGCAGAGGGGGAUGGAAUUCCGGCGUGUAGCAGUGAAAUGCGUAGAUAAUGCGGAGGAACACCGAUGGCGAAGGCAAUCCCCUGG
rnacentral:rRNA from 1 species